rnacentral:rRNA from 1 species
GGGUCAGUAGGUUGGUCGUGCCACCGGUACGUACUGGUCUCACUGAUUCCUCCUUCCUGAGGGACCGUAAUGCCAUUAAUUUGGUGUUGCGGGGAAACAGGACUGUUACUUUGAAAAAAUUAGAGUGUUUAAAGCAAGCUAACGCUUGAAUACAUUAGCAUGGAAUAAUGAAAUAGGACGAUCGAUCCUAUUUUGUUGGUUUCUAGGAUUGACGUA